rnacentral:tRNA from 1 species
GCCCGGAUGGUGGAAUGCAGACACGACGAGCUUAAACCUCGUUGGCCUUGAGGGCCGUGCCGGUUCGAGUCCGGCUCCGGGCA